AGCAGUAGCCGCGGGAAUACGGAGGGGGCUAGCGUUGUUCGGAAUUACUGGGCGUAAAGCGCACGUAGGCGGCUUGGUAAGUUAGAGGUGAAAGCCCAGGGCUCAACCCUGGAAUUGCCUUUAAGACUGCCGAGCUAGUAGGUGAGAGAGGUAAGUGGAAUUCCGAGUGUAGAGGUGAAAUUCGUAGAUAUUCGGAAGAACACCAGUGGCGAAGGCGGCUCACUGGACGCGUAUUGACGCUGAGGUGCGAAAGCGUGGGGAGCAAACAGGAUUAGAUACCCCUGUAGUCCCUGUCUCUUAUAC
rnacentral:rRNA from 1 species